rnacentral:tRNA from 1 species
GGGGCGAUAGAUCAACGGUAGAUCGCGUGCCUCGCACGCACGAGGUUCCGGGUUCAAAUCCCGGUCGCUCCACCA